GGUCCUGCGCAUGCGCCGUGCGUAGCACGCUGGAGUCCGCCCUGCUUUGGCGGCUGUACGGGGUAAACUGCUGAAGACAAUGAAGAAGGGUCUUGGGGACCGGGACGUGAGGCGGUUUGCGCGGCAUUUGCUAUUCUAUCUUUAUGUGAUAAGUGUUUCCCUACCAGAACCAGGCUUCAGGCAUGAUUUGGGUGUUUUUUCCAGGCCUAGUUCUCUAGCCCUUCUAGUGCUUCGGUCUCCCUGGAGUUUUUAACAAUCAGAAUUGUCCACGCUGAGCUUCCAGAAAUCCAUCAGUGACAGCUUUGGUUUUCCUACCCUGGCCAUGGUUCCCAUUGAGAUUUCUGCUUGUGGG